GUCUAGUCUAUGGUGCCAGAAGUACUUCUGGUUAAUUUCAUCUUUUGAUCUCUUUUGACCUACGGCUCUCACUAUUUGCUCAUUUAAGUUCACAUUCGCAUCAACAUGCAUGUAAUAUAGCUUGUCAAUUAAAAGAUCUCGUAACUAAUUUAUUUUGUAAAUAAAAAGAAUAAAAAUCUUUAUUGAAACUAAUUUCAAAAACUUUCUGUGCUAGCACAAACACGAAAAUCAAAU
rnacentral:lncRNA from 1 species